UACGGGGGGAGCAAGCGUUGUUCGGAUUUACUGGGCGUAAAGGGCGCGUAGACGGUCAGCACAAGUCAGUUGUGAAAUCUCCGGGCUUAACUCGGAAAGGUCAACUGAUACUGUGCGACUAGAGUGCAGAAGGGGCAACUGGAAUUCUCGGUGUAGCGGUGAAAUGCGUAGAUAUCUGGAGGAACACCGGUGGCGAAGGCGGCAUCCUGGACCGACACUGACGCUGAGGAGCGAAAGCCAGGGGAGCAAACGGG
rnacentral:rRNA from 1 species